UACGUAGGGCGCAAGCGUUGUCCGGAAUUAUUGGGCGUAAAGAGCUCGUAGGCGGCUUGUCACGUCGGGUGUGAAAGCCCGGGGCUUAACCCCGGGUCUGCGUCCGAUACGGGCAGGCUAGAGUGUGGUAGGGGAGAUCGGAAUUCCUGGUGUAGCGGUGAAAUGCGCAGAUAUCAGGAGGAACACCGGUGGCGAAGGCGGAUCUCUGGGCCAUUACUGACGCUGAGGAGCGAAAGCGUGGGGAGCGAACAGG
rnacentral:rRNA from 1 species